CAAUAGCGUAUAUUAAAGUUGUUGCAGUUAAAAAGCUCGUAGUUGGAUUUCAAGUCGUUCAGCCGGUCCGUCACCUAGUGGCGCGUACUUGUGCGUGUUUCGACUUUACUUUCGGAGAACACUUCGUGCUAUUAAGUUAGUGGCUGUGGGAUCCGGAUCGUUUACUUUGAAAAAAUUAGAGUGUUUAAAGCAGGCGUUUGCUCUUUGAAUACAUUAGCAUGGAAUAAUGGAAUAGGACUUAGGGUUUUUUCUAUUUUGUUUGGUUAUAGGACCUAAGUAAUGAUUAAUAGGGAUAGUUGGGGGCAUUUAUAUUUCAUUGUCAGAGGUGAAAUUCACGGAUUUAUGAAAGAUAAACUUCUGCGAAAGCAUUUGCCAAGGAUGUUUUCAUUAA
rnacentral:rRNA from 1 species